UUGAUGAUGUGAAUAAUUGCGAGGCCACCACGUAUCAAACAACUGAUAGGGUUUGAUAUCCGAGUUUUCGCCUUGUUCGGGUCCAUUGACAUAAAAAAGAAGGAAUCAUCUCCAGUGGGAUUUUUAGGUCUGUAACUGCCAUAUACAUAUGCAUCCGUAGCAACCCUUUUCCUACCUGACAAAUUAUUGUGCUACUUGGGCUUGCAACUUGUGCUGCCUCAUUAAUUGCAUCACUACAAAGUUAGGUAUUAUUGGGUCAUCCAAGGAAGUCUUUAAGUUUUUUACCAGACAAUAUUACCUACUAUCAGUAUAAAUCUCUGCAAAUGUAUAUAAACUUAGCAAUAGCCCUUUCCUCGUUUAUAACUGUAAGAAGCAAAAUCUAAGUAUUAUUUCGAAUGAUGUUUGGUGAUGCAUUUACAUGUAAACAUUUGGC
rnacentral:lncRNA from 1 species